GAUGAACGCUGGCGGCGUGCUUAACACAUGCAAGUCGAACGAACAACUUAGUAUCAUUCCCCUCGGGCGUGAUUAUUUUGUGACUGAGUGGCGGAUGGAUGACUUACCCGUGGGUAUCCUGCCUCGUAGAGAGGGCUGACCGUUGGACACAGAUGCUAAUACCCCAUAAGCUCCCGUCAUCGCAUGCUGCUUUGUUGACACCUCUGGUGGUAUCAGCUGCACACGCGUUAGUUUAGAUAGUUGGUGAGGUAACGGCCCACCAAGGCUACGAUCCAUAGCCGACCUGAGAGGGUGACCGGACACAUUGGGACUGAGACACGGCCCGAACUCCUACGGGAGGCAGCAGUGGGGAAUAUUGCACAAUGGGCGAAAGACUGAUGCAGCGACGCCGCGUGAGCGAAGAAGUAUUUCGGUAUGUAAAGCUCUAUCAGCAGGGAAGAUAAUGACGGUACCUGACUAAGAAGCACCGGCUAAAUACGUG
rnacentral:rRNA from 1 species